rnacentral:rRNA from 1 species
CGGCUGUCAACUGGGCAGGACUGUCUCAGUCCGUCCCNACCGCGCCGCGCCCGGGCGGGGACCGCCCANGACCAAGGGCGCUCGGGGUCAGCGGCGAUUCGGCUCCCCA